rnacentral:rRNA from 1 species
GACGAACGCUGGCGGCGUGCCUAAUACAUGCAAGUAGAACGCAGUUGCGAACGGGUGAGUAACGCGUAGGUAACUGCCUGGUAGCGGGGGAUAACUAUUGGAAACGAUAGCUAAUACCGCAUACUACCAGAUGGACCUGCUUUGUAUUAGCUAGUUGGUGAGGUAACGGCUCACCAAGGCAACGAUACAUAGCCGAGCUUGGAAGGUGAUCGGGCCAAAUGGGACUGAGAAACCGCCCAGACUCCCACGGGAGGCAACAGGAGGGAAUCUUCGGCAAUGGGGGGAACGCUGACCGAGCAAAGCCGGGUUAGUGGAGAAGGUUUUCGGAUCGUAAAGCUCUGUUGUUAAGGAAGCGGUACUUAACCAGAAAGGGACGGCUAACUACGUGCCAGCAGCCGCGGUAAUAC